GACGAACGCUGGCGACGUGCUUAACACAUGCAAGUCGAACGGAAAGGCCCUGCUUUUGUGGGGUGCUCGAGUGGCGAACGGGUAAGUAACACGUGAGUAACCUGCCCUUGACUUUGGGAUAACUUCAGGAAACUGGGGCUAAUACCGGAUAGGAGCUCCUGCUGCAUGGUGGGGGUUGGAAAGUUUCGGCGGUUGGGGAUGGACUCGCGGCUUAUCAGCUUGUUGGUGGGGUAGUGGCUUACCAAGGCUUUGACGGGUAGCCGGCCUGAGAGGGUGACCGGCCACAUUGGGACUGAGAUACGGCCCAGACUCCUACGGGAGGCAGCAGUGGGGAAUAUUGCACAAUGGGCGGAAGCCUGAUGCAGCAACGCCGCGUGCGGGAUGACGGCCUUCGGGUUGUAAACCGCUUUCGCCUGUGACGAAGCGUGAGUGACAGUAAUGGGUAAAGAAGCACCGGCUAACUACGUGCCAGCAGCCGCGGUGAUACGUAGGGUGCGAGCGUUGUCCGGAUUUAUUGGGCGUAAAGGGCUCGUAGGUGGUUGAUCGCGUCGGAAGUGUAAUCUUGGGGCUUAACCCUGAGCGUGCUUUCGAUACGGGUUGACUUGAGGAAGGUAGGGGAGAAUGGAAUUCCUGGUGGAGCGGUGGAAUGCGCAGAUAUCAGGAGGAACACCAGUGGCGAAGGCGGUUCUCUGGGCCUUUCCUGACGCUGAGGAGCGAAAGCGUGGGGAGCGAACAGGCUUAGAUACCCUGGUAGUCCACGCUGUAAACGGUGGGUACUAGGUGUGGGGUCCAUUCCACGGGUUCCGUGCCGUAGCUAACGCUUUAAGUACCCCGCCUGGGGAGUACGGCCGCAAGGCUAAAACUCAAAGGAAUUGACGGGGCCCCGCACAAGCGGCGGAGCAUGCGGAUUGAUUCGAUGCAACGCGUAGAACCUUACCUGGGUUUGACAUGGAUCGGGAGUGCUCAGAGAUGGGUGUGCCUCUUUUGGGGUCGGUUCACAGGUGGUGCAUGGCUGUCGUCAGCUCGUGUCGUGAGAUGUUGGGUUAAGUCCCGCAACGAGCGCAACCCUUGUUCACUGUUGCCAGCACGUUAUGGUGGGGACUCAGUGGAGACCGCCGGGGUCAACUCGGAGGAAGGUGGGGAUGACGUCAAGUCAUCAUGCCCCUUAUGUCCAGGGCUUCACGCAUGCUACAAUGGCUGGUACAGAGAGUGGCGAGCCUGUGAGGGUGAGCGAAUCUCGGAAAGCCGGUCUCAGUUCGGAUUGGGGUCUGCAACUCGACCUCAUGAAGUCGGAGUCGCUAGUAAUCGCAGAUCAGCAACGCUGCGGUGAAUACGUUCCCGGGGCU
rnacentral:rRNA from 1 species